rnacentral:rRNA from 1 species
GGGUGAGUAACGUGUGAGAAUCUGCCCUCAGGAGGGGGAUAACGGAAGGGGCUCUCCUAAUACCCCAUAUGCCGCGAGGUGAAAUGAAUUUCGCCUGAGGGAUGAGCUCGCGUCUGAUUAGGCUAGGUGUGUCUCUCUCUCAAGGCCUAUCACAGAGACAUCGAUCAGGUAGCUGGUCUGAGAGGAUGAUCAGCCAACACUGGGACUGAUGACACGGCCCAGACUCCUACGGGAGGCAAGCAGUGGGGG